rnacentral:rRNA from 1 species
AACGAACGCUGGCGGCAUGCCUAACACAUGCAAGUCGAACGAGAUCUUCGGGUCUAGUGGCGCACGGGUGCGUAACGCGUGGGAAUCUGCCCUUUGGUUCGGAAUAACAGUUGGAAACGACUGCUAAUACCGGAUGAUGACGAAAGUCCAAAGAUUUAUCGCCAGAGGAUGAGCCCGCGUAGGAUUAGCUAGUUGGUGUGGUAAAGGCGCACCAAGGCGACGAUCCUUAGCUGGUCUGAGAGGAUGGUCAGCCACACUGGGACUGAGACACGGCCCAGACUCCUACGGGAGGCAGCAGUGGGGAAUAUUGGACAAUGGGCGAAAGCCUGAUCCAGCAAUGCCGCGUGAGUGAUGAAGGCCUUAGGGUUGUAAAGCUCUUUUACCCGGGAUGAUAAUGACAGUACCGGGAGAAUAAGCUCCAGCUAACUCCGUGCCAGCAGCCGCAGUAA